GGUUGUGAAGCUUAUGUCAAAUGUUUAAUUACUGAUAAAUUUGGACCCAAAUAUGAUAAGUGAUACUUCGUUGGUAUCCUAAGGAAACCAAAGGUUAUUACUUUCACAACCUUACCGAGAAUAAAGUGUUUAUAGUUUGGAACUGUGUGUUUUUAGAAAGAGAAUUUCUUUCUAAAAGGAACAGUGGGAGUAAGGUAAAACUCGACUGAUAGCUAGACUCAAGAAGAAAAU
rnacentral:lncRNA from 1 species